rnacentral:lncRNA from 1 species
CGGCGGCGACCGAUCAUGUAUGGGCGGCGGAGUGCACUUAGUGCAAAGUAUGUCGCGGAACUGACUUGAUACAGGCAGAGCGCUCCAGUGGAGCUCGGCAGAGAAGAGAGUGGCUUCUCUGGAAGCCAAUGGUGCCAAGUAUUAUGUCAAAGGGCGCACAUGGCCCGAAGGGCUAUGGACACCGAGUCGAUCAGGCUGUGACUGAUCAAACAGACGAUAGAGGAAGUCCGCUGGUGGAG